rnacentral:lncRNA from 1 species
UUUUAACAUAAUAAGUAGCUUUCAAAAACAGAAUUUGAAAAUUGAGAAAAUAGGGGGGCCAAAAACAUGCCUUAUCAUACCUUGUCCUUUCACAUACCCUAUAUCAUACUGUUACCAGUUGAAGGUGUCUGAUUUAAGGAGCAUCUUCAUUUGAAUUUUAAAUAAUAGUAUUACUUCUGUCAGCAGCUGAUCAUUGCCUUAUUUCUGAGCUAUUCUAAUCACUGCUUUUAUAUUUAAAAUUAUUUAUUAUAAACAUAUUUCUUAUAGGAAUAAUAAAAUCAAAAUCAGUGAACUUGCAAGUUUGGAUGGGAUGGGAACUCUAACAGAAAUGAUAACAUUUGAAAUUAUAUUUGACAGCCAUACUGGUGUUAAUGAAAUUUUAAUACAAGGAUGAUUUUGCUUUGAAAUAAAACUAAAAGAAAGUCAUCAAAAUGUAAUUGAAAACAACACCAAGCAACUUCAAUAAUAAAUCAAGAUGUAAAAUUACUGAAUCCAGUUACUAAAGAUAAGACAUGUUACAUGAAUGUCUUAAAACGGUUAAAACAAUCCUUGUUAAUAGAUUUGUAGAUGUAUUUGAUAUCCAUUCUGUACAAUUAUCAAGUAUACAUACAACAUUAUGUCAGCAUUAAUGUGCUUUAGUAUUGUGAUAUUUCUGUUGGUGCUGAAUGUUGUUUAUUUUGUUGUGCCUUUGAUAUUGUAAAUAAUAACAAAUAUUUAUUCUGUCAAGUUGUAAUUUAUUAUGCAAAAUAUUUGUUUUGUUGAAAUGCCAAUCAUUUCUACUAAUAUUUCUUCUUCCGAGGAACAAUCAGAAUCUUAUGAAAUCUCACUGUGGUGAAAUAUUACUGCAUUUUUCCAUGUUUUUGUCUGUUGUUAAAAAUUUGGUAUAAAUAAUUGUUUUAUACUGUUAACAGCCAAGUUAUUUCAUUUACCUCUGUAUUUUCAAAUUUAAAUCUAAUGAUAAGUGAAUGAAUGAUCUAUGCUUUUAAACCAUUUUAACUUCUUAAACAACAACCAAAAGUUAAGUUGUAUUUGCUGUUUUAAGAAUUACCAGGUUGCUGCAUUUGUUAUAUGCCAAUUUAUUAUUCGCUAAUUUAUUUAUGAAUAAAAUUUAAACUCAGUUUUUAUUCAUUAGUUCACUUCACAGUUACCAAAUAGCAUUGUGUUCAAGUUAAGAGUGUAGAAACGAAAAUAAAAAGCAAUUUCCCACGUUAUCAAGGGACAUAACCCCAGAAUGGUAAGUGUCUCAUGCCCAAAUUGCUCAAAAUUGUGUAUGAAUGUCAUAAUUUUAUAUUUGGAUAUAGAGAGAAACUUGUUGCAGUUGGAGAAAUGAAAAUGGGACAAAGAAAGGACAAGGGUAACACUUAUUGCCUAUGGCAGGAGCAUAAAAAUGCCUUAAAUCAAGAGUUGACUUUGUUCAAUCCUAAUGGGUAUCAGUUUCAUAGGAAUUAGUUAAAAGUGAAUUUGAUUUAUUGUGGGAAAUGUUGAUAGACAAACCGAUGGACUAUGGUCUUUGAUUGUACACAAACUUGAUAUCUGUAUGGGAACUGAUGAAAAUGCAAUAAAUUCUUGAAAGUUUGUACAUGUUUUGAUUAUUCAAAUGUUUUGGCUUUGAGCAUCACUGAAUAGAAAUUUAUUGUCAAAAUACAAAUCUAGUGCAUAAACAUUGGUACUGAUGAUGUUAUUGUCUUUUAAUUUGUAGCAAUGAACUAAACAGGGAAAGGUAGUGUGGUUUUCUUUGGAUCAGUAAAACAAUAAUAAGCUAGGAGACAAAAUAGCACAAGGAAUUCCUGCGCGGUGAAGUUAUCUCUCGGAAAAACUAGAGGCUCUAAAGAGCCUGUGUCGCUCACCUUGGUCUAUGUGCAUAUUAAACAAAGGACACAAAUGGAUUCAUGACAAAAUUGUAUUUUGGUGAUGGUGAUGUGUUUGAAGUUCUUUCUUUACUGAACGAUUUUGCUUCUUACAAUUAUAUCUAUAAUGAACUUUGCCCAUUAGUAACAGAGAACUAUAUUUGGUAAAAAUUUACAUAAAUUUACCAAAUUAAU